AGCUCUACAAAUCUGGAUUCCGGAUUCUGGUGCAACAAAUCACAUGACAGGUAACGCAUCUGCUUUUACAUCCUCACUAUAAUUCUUUGGUAAUCCUGUUUGUUGUAGUUCUUGCUGUUCUCUUUCAAUAUCGAAGAGAGGUUGCUCUAUCACCUUCUAUGCACUUAAACGAUGUUUUCAUUCUAUUAUACCUAAGCUUGAAAACUUCUCUAUUCGUCAGUCAAACUAGAAAG
rnacentral:lncRNA from 1 species